AUUCCUUUCCAUUCAAUGGUAAUAUGUAGCUAAGGGGCUAUGUGAACUGCAUCACUACUAGUUAUUCCUUUCUAUUUUCAUCUUUACAUGACAAAGGACAGUAAUUCGUUGGAUCAGUGAUUAUUCGGUGUCUUGGAUAGAUUUUUCGAGUUCCGCCUCAUCCCAAUAAGUUGAAUCAUCAGCUAAACAUCUUAGAAAAGAAUCUGGUGCAUCACAGCCUGCAUUCCUGACAUCUAAAUCAUAAUAAUCAAAUUCCAGGUCUUGUUCAGGAUCGAAAAUGGCCGAACAAGAUUGGUGAUUAGAGACAUUUCAAUGUCUUCAGGAGAAUGGCAUCGUUUGCCAAACCUCUCGAUCCUGUCUAUCUGCUGCUGGCGUCUGAAACCUAUUGGCGACAUAGUUGAAGAUCGGCUGAGUCGGUUCAUCCUUCGAGAUUUCUCUGUCGACAGAAAAGCGAUGUGGCAGUAGACACCAGCUGAUAUUCACUCGUCCCUGACCACAGACUCGUGCUGUCCUGUGAUCGUUGGCCUCUGAUGAUUUUCUUAUUCUUCUGGCGAUGUUUGAAGUGGAACCCGCAUUUGCUGUAGAUUACCACGAGGAAUGAAACGGCAAAAAAGAGCAUCAACAAUAGAGUGGAAAGAGUCAAGAUAGGCGGUGGAAGCAUGUGACGUGCAAGCUUCGUGCGACUUUCUGCUCUAACGGCCGCCUCCACCGGCACUGCAGUGAUGCUGAUGACGAAUGCAGCUACGCACUUAGAGAGGGACACGAAAUGUUUUCUAGUGACGUUGAAUUCAAUCGACAGUUGCGGGGAACUCGUCGUCAGGAUGCCAACCAUCGGGAGGUUUAAAGUUUCAUUAUUAAAUAACGCUAUUAACGGCGAAAAGACGGAAACUCCAUCCCGUAUCGCCAAUUGAUCACCCGCGUGGCAAUCCAUUCGAAGUGAACAUCCAAGUGAUGUAACCGCUGGGACAGAGUACGGAUGAAACCACUAAAGACCAAGUACCAUCUUCCAGUUCCCUGUUGCAUCCGCACAUGCAUUCCGACGUCAAGUUUCCGUUGGUUACAUCAUCGUUGGCUUCCAACUCUAUUGCUUUAUCAGUUUUUUCUUUCUUUGGACAUGGUGGUGCCAUGCAACUCUCUGAUUCAAUCGGCUGACCCUGAGAAAGAUUACCGUGCAAAAGGAACCGGGGUAUUGUGGAGGCGGCCGAUCGCAGUAUCGAUAACGAAAACGCACUCCUUUGUAUCCGCAGCUGCGUGACGUACAGGCCGAAAAGGCGCUCCACGUUCCCCAUUCUGGCUCCUGGAAAACUGUUUUUACCGCAAAAAGAUGAAUAUUGGGGACAAAAAGAGAGAACCUAGUUUGACGAUUCUGCAGUUCGUGAUCGCACUUCUACAAUCAAAAGGCCGCCAAUCAGAGCAUCUAUAAAAAGAGCAAGCCAAUUUGAGAAGCACAAAGAACCAACCGAAACAGCAAUAUUGUCUUGUUUCUUCUUGAUACAAGACCAUUGCGGGCUGAUGUUAAUCCAGAUACGCAGGGAAGGAACUACUACGAUUUCUAUCUUCCCUGAACCAAACAAAAUAGGGAGACGGUACCGAAUUUUAGUGCAUAUUUUUAUUUAUACACCCUCUGUUUCGAUUUAGGAGACUUUCUUUGCGUGACUAGUAGGCAGAGCCCCAACCCGGUCAUUAAUCCAAUCCAAAGGGGACGAAGGAGCUCCCACAGAGAACACGAGCUGAUCGCGUUCUUAGAGGGGCAAACACAACAACUCGUCGACCUUUUGUACCUGCUCGCCAUCAAGUCCAUACGCUGCGCAGACUUCCACGCCACGGAAAAUCAAUUGGCUGUUCCGUGUUUGCUGUGAACGUCAUCCGCGUUGUACAAGCCGUAAAUCAAUCAUACGCACCUGACGUGUUUUGGUAAGGGAUGCAAGUCUGGG